rnacentral:rRNA from 1 species
CCUUGACAUACUAAGAACUUUCCAGAGAUGGAUUGGUGCCUUCGGGAACUUAGAUACAGGUGCUGCAUGGCUGUCGUCAGCUCGUGUCGUGAGAUGUUGGGUUAAGUCCGCAACGAGCGCAACCCUUUUCCUUAUUUGCCAGCGGGUAAUGCCGGGAACUUUAAGGAUACUGCCAGUGACAAACUGGAGGAAGGCGGGGACGACGUCAAGUCAUCAUGGCCCUUACGGCCAGGGCUACACACGUGCUACAAUGGUCGGUACAAAGGGUUGCUACCUCGCGAGAGGAUGCUAAUCUCAAAAAGCCGAUCGUAGUCCGGAUCGCAGUCUGCAACUCGACUGCGUGAAGUCGGAAUCGCUAGUAAUCGCGGAUCAGAAUGCCGCGGUGAAUACGUUCCCGGGCCUUGUACACACCGCCCGUCACACCAUGGGAGUUUGUUGCACCAGAAGUAGGUAGUCUAACCGCAAGGAGGACGCUUACCACGGUGUGGCCGAUGACUGGGGUGAAGUCGUAACAAGGUAGGCGUAGAUGA